GGGACACGUGGUAUCCUGUCUGAAUAUGGGGGGACCAUCCUCCAAGGCUAAAUACUCCUGACUGACCGAUAGUGAACCAGUACCGUGAGGGAAAGGCGAAAAGAACCCCGGCGAGGGGAGUGAAAAAGAACCUGAAACCGUGUACGUACAAGCAGUGGGAGCCUCUUUUAUGGGGUGACUGCGUACCUUUUGUAUAAUGGGUCAGCGACUUAUAUUCUGUAGCAAGGUUAACCGAAUAGGGGAGCCGAAGGGAAACCGAGUCUUAACUGGGCGUUAAGUUGCAGGGUAUAGACCCGAAACCCGGUGAUCUAGCCAUGGGCAGGUUGAAGGUUGGGUAACACUAACUGGAGGACCGAACCGACUAAUGUUGAAAAAUUAGCGGAUGACUUGUGGCUGGGGGUGAAAGGCCAAUCAAACCGGGAGAUAGCUGGUUCUCCCCGAAAGCUAUUUAGGUAGCGCCUCGUGAAUUCAUCUCCGGGGGUAGAGCACUGUUUCGGCAAGGGGGUCAUCCCGACUUACCAACCCGAUGCAAACUGCGAAUACCGGAGAAUGUUAUCACGGGAGACACACGGCGGGUGCUAACGUCCGUCGUGAAGAGGGAAACAACCCAGACCGCCAGCUAAGGUCCCAAAGUCAUGGUUAAGUGGGAAACGAUGUGGGAAGGCCCAGACAGCCAGGAUGUUGGCUUAGAAGCAGCCAUCAUUUAAAGAAAGCGUAAUAGCUCACUGGUCGAGUCGGCCUGCGCGGAAGAUGUAACGGGGCUAAACCAUGCACCGAAGCUGCGGCAGCGACACUAUGUGUUGUUGGGUAGGGGAGCGUUCUGUAAGCCUGUGAAGGUGUACUGUGAGGUAUGCUGGAGGUAUCAGAAGUGCGAAUGCUGACAUAAGUAACGAUAAAGCGGGUGAAAAGCCCGCUCGCCGGAAGACCAAGGGUUCCUGUCCAACGUUAAUCGGGGCAGGGUGAGUCGACCCCUAAGGCGAGGCCGAAAGGCGUAGUCGAUGGGAAACAGGUUAAUAUUCCUGUACUUGGUGUUACUGCGAAGGGGGGACGGAGAAGGCUAUGUUGGCCGGGCGACGGUUGUCCCGGUUUAAGCGUGUAGGCUGGUUUUCCAGGCAAAUCCGGAAAAUCAAGGCUGAGGCGUGAUGACGAGGCACUACGGUGCUGAAGCAACAAAUGCCCUGCUUCCAGGAAAAGCCUCUAAGCAUCAGGUAACAUCAAAUCGUACCCCAAACCGACACAGGUGGUCAGGUAGAGAAUACCAAGGCGCUUGAGAGAACUCGGGUGAAGGAACUAGGCAAAAUGGUGCCGUAACU
rnacentral:rRNA from 1 species